rnacentral:misc_RNA from 1 species
UUGACAAAUAUAAAUAAAACACGUGUAUAUGCUGUCUAUUUCCGGCAUGGAUUAUAAAUGCCUAUUAAGCAUUUCUGUCGGCUUUAAUUAGAAUUAAAAUAGCGCUCGAAUUACGGAGAAAUUGCAGAAUAAAUGUAAAAUUGAUAUCGUUUUUGUAGACAGUUUGGUAAUGUUUAAUGACAGAAUUCUGUUUGAAAUGGGAAGGUGUGGAAAAUUAAGUUUUAUUACGAUAAUUGCUAUCACAUUGUUCAAAUUGAAGUAUAACAAGAUAAAGAUGAUAUAAACAUAUGGAUACAAAGCAUACAUCUAUUCUGUACCAAAACUGGUAAGUCUUUACUAUUAUGGCAGUUAAUCCGAAAAGAAAGUUGUAUUCACCAAUCUUCAGGGAAGCAGAGACUAGUAGUAAAAAGAAAUCUUUGAAGAGUCACGAGGAGGAAGAAUUUGCAUAUCUUCUGGAAGGAGAAGAUUUUAACCUUGAAGAAGGCUAGGUGUAAUUCAUUAAAUUUUUUAAAUAAUCAUUUGAGAGAAUCGUGUUGACUUUUGUGUUGAGAAAGAAAUUGUGGAUGCCUGGCAUAUUUUGGCUAAAUGUGGGCGUCUUAAAGUGCUACGUGCAGAAAUUUUCAGUUGUGAAGUUCUUACCAGGGGGUGUGAUUCCUCUACUAUAAAUUUAGCCUUGUUGCUGGUGUUGUUUGGGAGCAUCUGCCAGUGCUGUAUCUUUGUUAUUAACUUAUUUCUUUUUUAUAGGUAAGA